UCAGAGUCGAUAUUAUUAUUCUUUUUACUGUGUUUAUUCUAAAGUACCAUUGACAUUUCUCUUUUUUUUCAGCUCAGCUACUCAGUUCUUUUUCUUUUUUGUCUUUGUAUACAAUUGAGUCUUUUCCUUUGGUGAGUGAUUUUCUUUGUGCCAUCAAAUUCUCUCUUUUCUUUUUUUUCUUUUUUUUAAUCAUCAUUUUUCUUAUAUAUAUUUUUCGCACUCACCUUAUUCAGCUUCUCAUGGGGCUACCCCAAACUUAAAAUGAAACACAACUUAAAGAACACAAAAAUCGCUCUGAACAGGGUAUGAAAGUG
rnacentral:lncRNA from 1 species